AUAAGAAAAGCCUACUUUGGAAAAAAUACAAUAGUAUUAAAUCAAAUAUAAAAAGCUUUUUAAUAUUGGAUAAUAUAAAUAUGAUCAUUAAGCGCCUAUAUAAAAUAUGCUUAUUCUAUUAAUUGUAUGAAGAAAACUUUUCGUUUGCACGUAAAUCUGUUUUAUUUAAUGAUUAUUUAAUUUAGCCUUUAUGGAAAAAAUCAAAAAAUCACACAACUUUAACAUGAACGCUCUCAAAUAUAUUAAGCGUAUAAUCUAUGAUGAACGCCACUAGGUGUAGCUUUACUAUAGAUUAGACAUGUGUAAGUAAUGCGAGUGAUAUUACUCGGGUAAUAUUACUCUACGAUGUAAUGCAACAUCACACAUUACGCGAAGGAAACAAACAUCACACUAUCACCCAACAUGUUUCUUUCUUUGUCGUGUAAUGUUGCUUAGUACACGAACGGAACCGAGCGAGCGAGACAGACCAAUCGACGCAAAAUAAAUGAGCAAGCGACACGGAAUUAUUCCUAGUGAUUUUGAACCGUAUGUCCCGGCCGCUAGGUACAUUUUUAUACCUAUGCGGUAUCCUGAGGAGACGGGAUAGAGUCCGGGUUAAACGGGAGCGAUGGUGGAUCAGAUUCAGCCAGGCUGAUGCCCAGCGUGUGCCAAUCCACCACAGUCCUCGUGACGGGAAUCGAUCUUCCUAUCAGGGUCGCCAGCCGUUGUUUUGGGUUGAGAAGUUGUUGUGAACCUCACAGAUUACGCAUUCUCUGUUAGCGAAUCGGCGUGCUGAUGUUAAGAAUAAAAGCUGAUUACACUUUGCUUAACAUUCUGUCUGGCCGUUAUGGACUUUAAACUUCAAGCCAUCGUGGACGUAGGUACGUAAGCUUUAAGUUUUCUCCAUAAACCGGAUUAUGUAAAAGUAAACAGUUGAUUGUAUGUAAAUAAAAAAACCUCUGCUAAUCCAU